AUUCAUUUUCUGCUUAUUCUUCAACUAUAACAUCAGUUAUCUUCUGGAAAUUUCAAACCUGGAUGAUGUUGGUAGAAAACCCAGUGAAGGUUAUGCAAUCCAUCUACUUUUCUCGAGAUUCUAAAUUCUGUUGUUAAACUGGAACAGCAGGAGUUGCAUCCAUGUGCCAUGGAAUCUUUGCUCAUCAUAGAACAGUAUUCACCAGGUUGCGUUUGAUCACUACACCGCUGGCCCUUAGGAAACAUUGCAGGCAGCUGAUGGCCCAACAUUCUUCAAAAUGAAAGAAGUGACACAUUUCACAAGCAACAAGAAAGCAGCGAUUCUGGGAAACCUCUCUCCUGCCUACUCUUCAGUUCCCUCCACGGUGACAGGUGCUCCCUGACUCUCUCAGCAGUCAGGAUCCCGGCUGCUCCGGAAAUGUGAAGAGCCUCAAGAUUAAUCCUGAUGCUUAGGGCACGAGAAUACCUUGCUAAUUUCCUUUUUUCCGGAAAAUCCACCUUUUUGGAAUGACCUUAGUCUUGGCCUACUCUGUGCAAAUAGUACUUUGCUAGACUUAUAACAACUGAUCUUAGAAAAUUGUAGGUUCAUAUGACGCUGAUGCCGCAGAGACUUCGGGCAUUUAUUCCUGACAUUCUGCCCCACUUCUUGACACUGGAAAUAGCCAUGAGAUUUGAUUUGACCAAUGGAAUACUAUUACCAAACAUGAUGUAAGUAUAAUGUCUCACUUAUCUGUUGCUGUAUAAGGAAUCAUCCCAAAACAUAGUGACUUAAAACAAAAAUCAUUUGAU
rnacentral:lncRNA from 1 species